UGCAUAUCAUAAGCGGAGGAAAAAGAAACCAACGGGAUUACCUCCAGUAAACGGCGAGUGAAGCGGUAACAGCCUCAAAUUUGAAAUCUUGGCUCUUUUAGGGUCCGAGUUGUAAUUUGUAGAAGAUGCUUUGGGUGUGGCCCUGGUCUAAGUUCCUUGGAACAGGACGUCAUAGAGGGUGAGAAUCCCGUAUGUGACUAGGUGCUUUCGCCCGUGUAAAGCUCUUUCGACGAGUCGAGUUGUUUGGGAAUGCAGCUCAAAAUGGGUGGUAAAUUUCAUCUAAAGCUAAAUAUUGGCCAGAGACCGAUAGCGCACAAGUAGAGUGAUCGAAAGAUGAAAAGCACUUUGGAAAGAGAGUUAAACAGUACGUGAAAUUGUUGAAAGGGAAGCGCUUGCAACCAGACUUAGUUGCGGCCGAUCAUCUAGGGUUCUCCCUGGUGCACUCGGUCGUAUCUAGGCCAGCAUCGGUUUGGGUGGUGGGAUAAAGGCCUUGGGAAUGUAGCUUCUUUCGGGGAGUGUUUAUAGCCCUCGGUGCAAUGCCGCCUACCCGGACCGAGGACCGCGCUCCGGCUAGGAUGCUGGCGUAAUGGUUGUAAGCGACCCGUCUUGAAACACGGACCA
rnacentral:rRNA from 1 species